CGGCACACACACUGAGAGACAAGCACAAAGUGUUACUGAACCUGAGACUAGGAUGAUCUGGUAAACUCCACAAACAGGAGUGUUCGACUUAUGAAUGUUCAUGUGGACAGCAGUCUGAUGGUUUAAGGUUGAUGGCCGUUCUUCAUGUAUCCAGUCACCCUGUCAUCCUGGAUGCUGAGGUUCCCCCACUCUGAAUUCAGCCCACUCUGGACCAAUGCCUCAGUCUGAGCCUCCAGCCCUGUCUGGAGCAAGGAGGCUUUGUUUUAGUAAGCACAAGACAGUCUCAUGAAAGAAGAGAUGAAGUGUGAGUGGGUACCACUGCUGGCUAUAAGCAUGGCCCUGGUGUUAUGAGGUAACUGUGCAAAUGUGAAAUCACUGGGACUUAUUUUAGGGGUUGUCCAUCAGGAAAUCUUACGGGCUGUCCAUCAUCAGUCAAAGCCUUUCAACAUUCUCAGAUUCAGAGUUUGAGCUGGGAGAAUCCAUGUGACCUCUGCUCUAUUUGCUUCUCCAGGCUCCGGGUUCACUUGCUUCUCAAGAUGAUCUUCUCUGGAUGCCCGGCUCUGACCUUGCUCUACCAUAGACCUUUUCAUUCUACUUUUCUCUGUUUCUUUAUGUGAUGGUUUGUGUGAAAAGAUAAUUUGUAACCUUAUUCAUUUGGAGUUUCUGUUUCUGUACCUUGUUUUUUCUGUUAUUUUGGGUUGGUUUAUGAGGCAAGAAUGGGGUGGAAGGAAUUUGAUGGUAACCAUUUUGAACUACAUGU